rnacentral:lncRNA from 1 species
AGGUAGACAUCAUCUGUGGGGAUCACUUACUGGAGCGGUACCAAACUCUGCGGGAAAUCCGACGUGCAAUAGGUGACACAGCAAUGCAGGAUGGUCUACUUGUUCUUCAUUAUGGUCUUGUGGUUUCUCCUUUAAAAAUAACUUGAAAAUCCAAGAGUAUAUUGGAGGCUUCUGCAGAUGUGCAUCACACCAAAGAUUCUCCCAGAGCAUGUAACCACCACCACUUACGCUGUUAAGAGCUAGCUUCUGUUCUUAGCACCAGAACCCUAGCAAUGUGUACAACUUGAAACAAUAGAAUGUAUUUGCUACACUAAAGACUAUGUAAAAAACAUUCAUAACUCAGGGGAAAAAACU